GACGAACCGAGCGAACGUUAUUCGGAAUCACUGGGCUUAAAGGGCGCGUAGGCGGGUCCGCAAGUCAGGGGUGAAAGCCCCCAGCUCAACUGGGGAAGUGCCUCUGAUACUGCGGGCCUCGAGGGAGGUAGGGGCGUGCGGAACUUCCGGUGGAGCGGUGAAAUGCGUAGAUAUCGGAAGGAACACCGGUGGCGAAAGCGGCGCGCUGGACCUCUUCUGACGCUGAGGCGCGAAAGCCAGGGGAGCGAACGGG
rnacentral:rRNA from 1 species